rnacentral:lncRNA from 1 species
CUCUGUAGGUCGGCCAUCUUGGACGAGGGGUGAGGUAGCUGGCAGGGAGGUGACGCUGCGGCUGCCAUGUUGAGUGAGGGCAGCCUAACAAGAUCUUGAUGGUGCUGCCGUAUGAGAUGGGGCAAUCAUCGUUCCACUUUUCACGUCUCUGUGUGACCAGAGGGUAAACAUCUUGAACUUCAGAGUCUGCAUACCACCUAAUCCCGAGGGAGUCCCCAGGGCCUGUCUGCAUUGAGCUGAAACCUCAGUUCUUAAGCAUCAGGAUCUGCCAGAUUUACAGCCUUCAAAGAGAUAGACAACAGCCCAGUUCAUCGGCACAGGCGUGAAGAACUGCACACAGAAAAGGAACAGGGCAGCCUUCCUACUAUAGUUGUGUCCAGAGCUGGCUGUCACUUCUCCACACAGACGAUGGCACCUGAGCCGGUUUGGAAUCUACAGUUCUAACAAGUUCAGCCAAGUUUUGUAAGCUGAAGAUCUCCGUUUAUCUUUAUUGUGUCAAUUGCUGACAGUGUUUCAAUACGGUGGUAAAAAUCAAAGAGCUGAUGUCCAUCCACAAAUAUUCUAAAACGGGGAUGCUCACAAAGUAUCUCAACCUGUAAAAAAUAAAAUGAUGAACCGUGUUCACAACGUAACUGGGAAGUUAUUUCACAGGAUGCAAAGAGCACCGGAUUAGCCUUUAAGCAGCGUUGGUAUGGUUACACAUCUUGCUACUUGCACGCCACGUAGCAGAGAAAGCUGAGCCCCCUUUGCCCCCACGACCCCAGUUACACUACAAGGGAUCUGCUCGCACUUCACAGAGAUGUUAAUCCAGCCUCACACAGCCAGGGUGGGGAGGACCCCCAAACCCUGAUGCACAGCUCUGCAGAUUAUGGUCCUGCUGGCACCAGGGAGGUUUUCUCUCUGUGAAUAAUGCCAGAAGCAAACUGCUAAUUAAAGGUAUAUCCAACCCAAAUCUUGCAUUCCUGGCUACAGAUGUUUGUUUGUUUUUUUUUUCCCGGCAGAAUGAGGGGGCAGCUCCCUCUGCAGUGUUUUCCAUGCUGCCAUUAAUUCAGUGGAAGAGAGCAAACAUGAGAGGGAUAGGUUUGCCCUCCACUCCCACACGCCAGAACUGCACUUACACAGCUGCUGUGCAACUAAAAAGCUUCUGCUGUGGCGACUGCACACAGGACUGCCUGCUGGACUAGGGGCUGCAGUGAGGGAGACGUAGCACAGGACAGCUUAAAUACAGCCAGACAGCCCACACAAGGCACAGCCUGCACAAGGGAAGGAUAAAGCUCAUCUCUCGUCCUACGGCCCUGGAGAAAUAAUCUAGAAAAGCCACAAGGAGAGGAGCUAGACCACUCGUUCUGGAUAAAUAUUCCUGAUAUCGAGGGUGGCUUGAUGCCUUGAGGAUAAGCUUUGCUAGAGCUGCCCCAUCAGGAAGCCAAGACGAGAAGGCACAAAACAUGCAUUUUUUGUAUGCGCCCUCAUAGACCUCCAGGUCUGGAAAGGCUGAGAAGCGAAUCUGCAGGGAAGCCAUGUGCAAAUCCUGGGUUGUUUCUGAGGCCGGUAGUCUGGAGCAAAGUGAGUGAUAAACUGAGCGAGUCGAAGUGCGUCUGAUUUAGGGCAUAUCAUACUGAGGAAGUAGCAGCAGACUGCCCACAGGACCUGGUAGCG